GAUCAUGCUGUGCAGUUUCAUC
rnacentral:miRNA from 4 species